rnacentral:rRNA from 1 species
UACGGAGGGUGCAAACGUUGCUCGGAAUCAUUGGGCGUAAAGCGCACGUAGGCGGACCGCUAAGUCGGAUGUGAAAGCCCUCGGCUUAACCGAGGAAGUGCAUUCGAAACUGACGGUCUUGAGUAUGGAAGAGGGUCGCGGAAUUCCCGGUGUAGAGGUGAAAUUCGUAGAUAUCGGGAGGAACACCAGUGGCGAAGGCGGCUUCCUGGACCAAUACUGACGAUCAGGUGCGAAAGCGUGGGGAGCAAACAGG